rnacentral:rRNA from 1 species
GAUGAACGCUGGCGGCGUGCCUAAUACAUGCAAGUCGAGCGACCGGACGAGAAGCUCGUUUUCUUGCUGUUGGCGGCGGACGGGCGAGUAAGACGUAGAUAACCAACCACUAUGACUGGGAUAAUUUCGGGGAACAACUGACACUACUGGCUAAUACUACCUACGGGUUGGUUCAAAAGUGAAUCAGGCCUUUCCCGUCACAAUUAGACGGUUCCGCGUUGCAUUAGCUAGUUGGUAAGGUAACGGCUUACCAAGGCGACGAUGCGUAGCCGACCUGAGAGGAUGAUCAGCCACACUGGAACUGAGACACGGUCCAGACUCCUACGGGAGGCAGCAGUGGGGAAUCUUCGACAAUGGGCGAAAGCCUGAUGCAGCAACACCGCGUGGGUGAAGAAGGUCUUCGGGUCGUAAAGCUCUUUUGUUGGGAAAGAAAAGAAGCAGGUUAAUCUGUGGACGUCUUGACGGUACCUAAACAAUAAGCCACGGCUAACUUCGUG